rnacentral:rRNA from 1 species
UUGUAAACCGCUUUCAGCAGGGAAGAAGCGAAAGUGACGGUACCUGCAAAAGAAGCACCGGCUAACUAUGUGCCAGCAGCCGCGGUAAUACAUAGGGUGCAAGCGUUGUCCGGAAUUAUUGGGCGUAAAGAGCUCGUAGGUGGUUAGUUACGUCGGGUGUGAAACUCUGGGGCUCAACCCCAGACCUGCACUCGAUACGGGCUAGCUAGAGUUUGGUAGGGGAGACUGGAAUUCCUGGUGUAGCGGUGGAAUGCGCAGAUAUCAGGAGGAACACCAAUGGCGAAGGCAGGUCUCUGGGCCAAUACUGACACUGAGGAGCGAAAGCGCGGGGAGCGAACAGGAUUAGAUACCCUGGUAGUCCGCGCCGUAAACGGUGGGCGCUAGUUGUGGGAACCUUCCACGGUUUCUGCGACGCAGCUAACGCAUUAAGCG